rnacentral:rRNA from 1 species
GGGACACGUGGUAUCCUGUCUGAAUAUGGGGGGACCAUCCUCCAAGGCUAAAUACUCCUGACUGACCGAUAGUGAACCAGUACCGUGAGGGAAAGGCGAAAAGAACCCCGGCGAGGGGAGUGAAAAAGAACCUGAAACCGUGUACGUACAAGCAGUGGGAGCCUCUUAAUGGGGUGACUGCGUACCUUUUGUAUAAUGGGUCAGCGACUUAUAUUCUGUAGCAAGGUUAACCGAAUAGGGGAGCCGAAGGGAAACCGAGUCUUAACUGGGCGUUAAGUUGCAGGGUAUAGACCCGAAACCCGGUGAUCUAGCCAUGGGCAGGUUGAAGGUUGGGUAACACUAACUGGAGGACCGAACCGACUAAUGUUGAAAAAUUAGCGGAUGACUUGUGGCUGGGGGUGAAAGGCCAAUCAAACCGGGAGAUAGCUGGUUCUCCCCGAAAGCUAUUUAGGUAGCGCCUCGUGAAUUCAUCUCCGGGGGUAGAGCACUGUUUCGGCAAGGGGGUCAUCCCGACUUACCAACCCGAUGCAAACUGCGAAUACCGGAGAAUGUUAUCACGGGAGACACACGGCGGGUGCUAACGUCCGUCGUGAAGAGGGAAACAACCCAGACCGCCAGCUAAGGUCCCAAAGUCAUGGUUAAGUGGGAAACGAUGUGGGAAGGCCCAGACAGCCAGGAUGUUGGCUUAGAAGCAGCCAUCAUUUAAAGAAAGCGUAAUAGCUCACUGGUCGAGUCGGCCUGCGCGGAAGAUGUAACGGGGCUAAACCAUGCACCGAAGCUGCGGCAGCGACACUAUGUGUUGUUGGGUAGGGGAGCGUUCUGUAAGCCUGUGAAGGUGGCCUGUGAGGGUUGCUGGAGGUAUCAGAAGUGCGAAUGCUGACAUAAGUAACGAUAAAGCGGGUGAAAAGCCCGCUCGCCGGAAGACCAAGGGUUCCUGUCCAACGUUAAUCGGGGCAGGGUGAGUCGACCCCUAAGGCGAGGCCGAAAGGCGUAGUCGAUGGGAAACAGGUUAAUAUUCCUGUACUUGGUGUUACUGCGAAGGGGGGACGGAGAAGGCUAUGUUGGCCGGGCGACGGUUGUCCCGGUUUAAGCGUGUAGGCUGGUUUUCCAGGCAAAUCCGGAAAAUCAAGGCUGAGGCGUGAUGACGAGGCACUACGGUGCUGAAGCGACAAAUGCCCUGCUUCCAGGAAAAGCCUCUAAGCAUCAGGUAACAUUAAAUCGUACCCCAAACCGACACAGGUGGUCAGGUAGAGAAUACCAAGGCGCUUGAGAGAACUCGGGUGAAGGAACUAGGCAAAAUGGUGCCGUAACUUCGGGAGAAGGCACGCUGAUAUGUAGGUGAAGCGACUUGCUCGUGGAGCUGAAAUCAGUCGAAGAUACCAGCUGGCUGCAACUGUUUAUUAAAAACACAGCACUGUGCAAACACGAAAGUGGACGUAUACGGUGUGACGCCUGCCCGGUGCCGGAAGGUUAAUUGAUGGGGUUAGCGGCAACGCGAAGCUCUUGAUCGAAGCCCCGGUAAACGGCGGCCGUAACUAUAACGGUCCUAAGGUAGCGAAAUUCCUUGUCGGGUAAGUUCCGACCUGCACGAAUGGCGUAAUGAUGGCCAGGCUGUCUCCACCCGAGACUCAGUGAAAUUGAACUCGCUGUGAAGAUGCAGUGUACCCGCGGCAAGACGGAAAGACCCCGUGAACCUUUACUAUAGCUUGACACUGAACAUUGAGCCUUGAUGUGUAGGAUAGGUGGGAGGCUUUGAAGUGUGGACGCCAGUCUGCAUGGAGCCGACCUUGAAAUACCACCCUUUAAUGUUUGAUGUUCUAACGUGGGCCCGUAAUCCGGGUUGCGGACAGUGUCUGGUGGGUAGUUUGACUGGGGCGGUCUCCUCCUAAAGAGUAACGGAGGAGCACGAAGGUUGGCUAAUCCUGGUCGGACAUCAGGAGGUUAGUGCAAUGGCAUAAGCCAGCUUGACUGCGAGCGUGACGGCGCGAGCAGGUGCGAAAGCAGGUCAUAGUGAUCCGGUGGUUCUGAAUGGAAGGGCCAUCGCUCAACGGAUAAAAGGUACUCCGGGGAUAACAGGCUGAUACCGCCCAAGAGUUCAUAUCGACGGCGGUGUUUGGCACCUCGAUGUCGGCUCAUCACAUCCUGGGGCUGAAGUAGGUCCCAAGGGUAUGGCUGUUCGCCAUUUAAAGUGGUACGCGAGCUGGGUUUAGAACGUCGUGAGACAGUUCGGUCCCUAUCUGCCGUGGGCGCUGGAGAACUGAGGGGGGCUGCUCCUAGUACGAGAGGACCGGAGUGGACGCAUCACUGGUGUUCGGGUUGUCAUGCCAAUGGCACUGCCCGGUAGCUAAAUGCGGAAGAGAUAAGUGCUGAAAGCAUCUAAGCACGAAACUUGCCCCGAGAUGAGUUCUCCCUGACCCUUUAAGGGUCCU